ACAUUUGAUUCACGUUCCGAAUGUGAAGUACUUUCUCUUCUCUCAUUAAUCUUCUACUUCUUAUUAGCCACAUUUUUACAACGAUUGUAAAACAUAGUUACUAAUACUGAAUCAUGCAUUCAAGUAGAAGAACCAACUGUUUUGAACUUUUCAAGAACAAUUUACAACACCUUCGAAAGGUGUGUUCUUGACACUUGCAAGACAUUUCUUGCAAAUACCUCUUCCAAUGUCCAUCCUUUCAAGAGUUGUUCAAGGCAACUCUCAUUUCUUCAUACAACAAUUUGUAAGUGAAGAAUCAUGGCACUUAAAGUGUCCAUGCCCUUGUGCUUUCUUCUCAAGUUCUUUGUUCAUUUAACAAAGAAACAAGCACUAG
rnacentral:lncRNA from 1 species